GUCCACGCCGUAACGAUGGAUACUAGUUGUUCGGUAGCAAUACUGAGUGACUAAGCGAAGUGAUAAGUAUCCCACCUGGGGAGUACGUUCGCAAGAAUGAACUCAAGGAAUUGACGGGGCCCGCACAAGCGGUGGAGCAUGUGGUUUAAUUCGAUGAUACGCGAGGAACCUUACCAGGGCUUAAAUGUAGUUUGACCGUUUUGGAAACAGAACUUUUCGCAAGACAAAUUACAAGGUGCUGCAUGGUUGUCGU
rnacentral:rRNA from 1 species